AAUGGCAGCCAAGUACCAUACAAAGGUAUAUUGCAGGCAAACAUUAAUUGGCGGAAACUAUGGUCUUCUCAAUACAACCACAUUUGUUCCCAAUCCUGACUAUUACAGUGCCCUUUUGUGGCAUCGGCUUAUGGGGAAAGGUGUUCUAGCUGUUGGAAGCGAUGCUUCACCGCAUCUGCGUGCUUAUGCCCAUUGCUCAAAAGGACGAGCAGGUAUAACUUUACUGCUAAUCAAUUUAAGCAAUCAGACUGAUUUUAUAAUCAGUGUUCGAAAUAGUAUGACAAUGAGAUUGCAUGUGGAAAAGAAAUUAAUUCAGAAAGAAAACUCUUUGACGCGUGACCUUAAGAGAUCAGUUUCGUGGGUCGGAAAUGAAGCAUCCAACGGAGCAACCAGGGAGGAGUAUCAUCUAACUCCGAAAGAUGGGUACCUUCGAAGUGAAACCAUGGUUCUAAAUGGAAUCCCAUUAAAACUCACUGAAAGUGGAGACAUCCCAAGAUUGGACCCUGUCCACAAUAAUGUGAAUUCUCCUAUAUAUAUAAGUCCUUUGUCCAUUUCAUUCAUAGUGUUCCCUAGUUUUGAUGC
rnacentral:misc_RNA from 1 species